UACCACAUGGGUCCCGUCCUUUCCUCGUCGCCAAUCAAUAUCUACCUCAUUUGGUACGGUCGUUGGUCUGUUUCCCAAAAACUCCUCAUCAAAGACUUCAUAAACUCAAUUUCCCCUUCCGCGACGCCGUCAUUUCCGCCGUCUCCUUCCGUUUCCGACUGGUGGAAAACCGUCUCUCUUUACACUGACCAGACUGGAGCCAACGUUUCGCGGACCGUCGUCAUUGCUAAAGAACACUCCGAUACGGGUUACUCCCACGGUUCUCACCUCACGCGCCUUUCAGUCCAACAAGUUAUCGCCACCGCCGUCGAAGCCGCUCCUUUCCCUGUCGACCACCGUAAUGGGAUCUACUUAAUCCUUACCUCCCACGACGUUACCGUUGAAGAUUUUUGCCGUGCCGUUUGUGGCUUCCAUUACUUCACGUUCCCAUCCAUGGUGGGUCACACUUUGCCCUACGCUUGGAUCGGCAACUCGGGUAAACAAUGCCCCGAGGUCUGCGCUUACCCCUUCGCCGUCCCGGGCUAUAUGGGCGGCGGCGGUCCGGGUUCGUUGGCCCCACCGAACGGAGACGUCGGGUUGGACGGCAUGAUCAGUGUGAUCGCCCACGAGUUAGCCGAGCUCUCCACAAACCCACUGGUGAACGCAUGGUACGCCGGAGAGGACCCCACCGCACCGACGGAGAUAGGAGACCUCUGUGAAGGGUUGUACGGUACCGGCGGCGGCGGAGGGUACAUCGGUCAAGUCAUGAGAGACCAGAAAGGGAAAACGUAUAACAUGAACGGCAACAAAGGAAGGAAAUUCAUGGUGCAAUGGAUUUGGAGCCCUGUUUUGAAAGCUUGUGCUGGUCCCAAUGCUUUGGAUUAAAUUUAAUAUUAUUUUUCUGGGUUUUUUUUUUCCAUUGAAAUCAUCAGAUUCAUUUCCAUGGAAU
rnacentral:lncRNA from 1 species